GAUGAACGCUGGCGGCGUGCUUAACACAUGCAAGUCGAACGGAAAGGCCCAAGCUUGCUUGGGUACUCGAGUGACGAACGGGUGAGUAACACGUGGGUGAUCUGCCCUGCACUUCGGGAUAAGCCUGGGAAACUGGGUCUAAUACCGGAUAGGACGAUGGUUUGGAUGCCAUUGUGGAAAGUUUUUUCGGUGUGGGAUGAGCUCGCGGCCUAUCAGCUUGUUGGUGGGGUAAUGGCCUACCAAGGCGUCGACGGGUAGCCGGCCUGAGAGGGUGUACGGCCACAUUGGGACUGAGAUACGGCCCAGACUCCUACGGGAGGCAGCAGUGGGGAAUAUUGCACAAUGGGCGCAAGCCUGAUGCAGCGACGCCGCGUGGGGGAUGACGGCCUUCGGGUUGUAAACUCCUUUCGCUAGGGACGAAGCGUUUUUGUGACGGUACCUGGAGAAGAAGCACCGGCUAACUACGUG
rnacentral:rRNA from 1 species